UACGUAGGGUGCAAGCGUUGUCCGGAAUUAUUGGGCGCAAAGAGCUCGUAGGCGGUCCGUCGCGUCUGCCGUGAAACCCCGGGGCUCAACCCCGGGCCUGCGGUGGAUACGGGCGGACUAGAGUCCGGUAGGGGAGACUGGAAUUCCUGGUGUAGCGGUGAAAUGCGCAGAUAUCAGGAGGAACACUGAUGGCGAAGGCAGGUCACUGGGCCGGUACUGACGCUGAGGAGCGAAAGCGUGGGGAGCGAACAGG
rnacentral:rRNA from 1 species